CCCGAUGACGAAACCGUCCUCCGCCGCGAUGGUAAUAAU
rnacentral:sRNA from 1 species